AGCGAACGCUGGCGGCAGGCUUAACACAUGCAAGUCGAGCGGGCACUUUCGGGUGUCAGCGGCUGACGGGUGAGUAACGCGUGGGAACGUGCCCUCUGGUUCGGAAUAACUCAGGGAAACUUGAGCUAAUACCGGAUACGCCCUUUUGGGGAAAGGCUUGCUGCCGGAGGAUCGGCCCGCGUCUGAUUAGCUAGUUGGUGAGGUAACGGCUCACCAAGGCGACGAUCAGUAGCUGGUCUGAGAGGAUGAUCAGCCACACUGGGACUGAGACACGGCCCAGACUCCUACGGGAGGCAGCAGUGGGGAAUAUUGGACAAUGGGCGCAAGCCUGAUACAGCCAUGCCGCGUGAGUGAUGAAGGCCUUAGGGUUGUAAAGCUCUUUUAUCCGGGACGAUAAUGACGGUACCGGAGGAAUAAGCCCCGGCUAACUUCGUG
rnacentral:rRNA from 1 species